rnacentral:misc_RNA from 1 species
GGUUUUUAUUUUAUACUUUAAACUUUGAAUUUAUUUUUUAAAUGUUUAUAUUAUUUGAAUAAAACAUUCAAAUAAUAUAAAAAAUAAUAUAUAUAUUGACAUGGAUUAAACAAACGAUAUAUAUUAUUCUAUGUUGUAUAAACAAAUUGGCAAAAUAGAGAUGGAAGAUAAAAAUA